UAGUCCAUGCCGUAAACGAUGAUUACUCGAUAUUGGCAUUUAUGUCAGUGUCCAAGCGAAAGUAUUAAGUAAUCCACCUGGGGAGUACGAUCGCAAGGUUGAAACUCAAAGGAAUUGACGGGGGCCCGCACAAGCGGUGGAGCAUGUGGUUUAAUUCGAUGAUACGCGAGGAACCUUACCAAGGCUUAAAUGCAGAACGAUAGAUUUGGAAACAGAUUUUUCUUCGGACGGUCUGCAAGGUGCUGCAUGGUUGUCGUCAGCUCGUGCCGUGAGGUGUCGGGUUAAGUCCCAUAACGAGUGCAACCCUUAUCCUUAGUUGCCAGCACGUAAUGGUGGGGACUCUAGGGAGACUGCCGGCGCAAGCCGUGAGGAAGGUGGGGACGACGUCAAAUCAUCAUGGCCUUUAUGCCUAGGGCUACACACGUGCUACAAUGGUGACUACAACGGGUUGCGAAAUUGUGAAAUGGAGCUAAUCUCAAAAAAGUCAUCCCAGUUCGGAUUGAAGUCUGAAACUC
rnacentral:rRNA from 1 species